GAUGAACGCUGGCGGCGUGCCUAAUACAUGCAAGUCGAGCGAACGGACGAGAAGCUUGCUUCUCUGAUGUUAGCGGCGGACGGGUGAGUAACACGUGGAUAACCUACCUAUAAGACUGGGAUAACUUCGGGAAACCGUAGCUAAUACCGGAUAAUAUUUUGAACCGCAUGGUUCAAAAGUGAAAGACGGUCUUGCUGUCACUUAUAGAUGGAUCCGCGCUGCAUUAGCUAGUUGGUAAGGUAACGACUUACCAAGGCAACGAUGCAUAGCCGACCUGAGAGGGUGAUCGGCCACACUGGAACUGAGACACGGUCCAGACCCCUACGGGAGGCAACAGUAGGGAAUCUUCCGCAAUGGGCGGAAACCUGACGGAGCAACGCCGCGUGAGUGAUGAAGGUCUUCGGAUCGUAAAACUCUGUUAUUAGGGAAGAACAUAUGUGUAAGUAACUGUGCACAGCUUGACGGUACCUAAUCAGAAAGCCACGGCUAACUACGUG
rnacentral:rRNA from 1 species